GUGUUUUUUUGUCACUUUUCUUUAAGUAUUUUCCCACUUUUGUAGCCUAAAGGCCGUUUAACAGUUGUGCGGAGGCUCCACGCAGAGCUCUCGCCGUAGCCUAUGAGCGCUCUAGAUUUCUGCUUGAGGCAGUCAUGGUGUCAAGGCAUGUCAUGGAGCGCUCUAGAUUUCAGCUGACUGGCCCGGAGCCUGAGACUCUUCUGCUUGAGGCUGCUGCAUGUCAUGGUGAGUUACCUGGCGAUGCAGGACAGCGUGGACCGUGACCCCUGUAAGUUUCGUGUUGUGGUC